GCCUUAAUUAGCCCAUUUGAGUAAUCAGUGGCUUGAUUGGUCCUGUGUGCUUAAGUAAACCAGCACAUGCGAAGAGUGCUGGCGGGAUUCAGGGCGUUUCAAGAGCACUGGUUCACUCAGGGUAGUUUGUCUAGCACUCACCUCUUCAUUCAGCCACCACUUGACAGCGCAGACUCUUCAGAGGCCUGCCUGAUGCCCAUCAGCAUGAGGGACUCCAGUCUUCAUCCUUCAUCACCGCACAAAGACAUCUGGACGAUUGUCAAGGACGUCACAAUCUCUGUGAUAGCUGACAUAUCCCAUGGGCCAUUGCAGAAAAAGGAAAGCAAAGUCACUCUUGCGUGA
rnacentral:lncRNA from 1 species